rnacentral:rRNA from 1 species
ACGCUGGCGGCGUGCCUAAUACAUGCAAGUCGAACGGUCUUUCUAUGGAAGCUUGCUUCCACUGAGAAGAUAGUGGCGAACGGGUGAGUAACACGUGGGUAACCUGCCCAUAAGAGGGGGGAUAACAUCCGGAAACGGGUGCUAAUACCGCAUAGUUUUCUUGAUCGCAUGAUCGGGAAAGGAAAGACGGCCUUUGUGCUGUCGCUUAUGGAUGGACCCGCGGCGUAUUAGUUAGUUGGUGAGGUAACGGCUCACCAAGACGAUGAUACGUAGCCGACCUGAGAGGUGAUCGGCCACAUUGGGACUGAGACUCGGCCCAAACUCCUACGGGAGGCAGCAGUAGGGAAUCUUCCGCAAUGGACGAAAGUCUGACGGAGCAACGCCGCGUGAGUGAAGAAAGGUUUUCGGAUCGUAAAACUCUGUUGUCAGAGAAGAACAAGUUGGAGAGUAACUGCUCCAGCCUUGACGGUAUCUGACCAGAAAGCCACGGCUAACUACGUGCCAGCCGCUGC